rnacentral:rRNA from 1 species
GAACGCUGGCGGCGUGCCUAAUACAUGCCAGUCGAGCGAACGGACGAGAAGCUUGCUUCUCUGAUGUUAGCGGCGGACGGGUGAGUAACACGUGGAUAACCUACCUAUAAGACUGGGAUAACUUCGGGAAACCGGAGCUAAUACCGGAUAAUAUUUUGAACCGCAUGGUUCAAAAGUGAAAGACGGUCUUGCUGUCACUUAUAGAUGGAUCCGCGCUGCAUUAGCUAGUUGGUAAGGUAACGGCUUACCAAGGCAACGAUGCAUAGCCGACCUGAGAGGGUGAUCGGCCACACUGGAACUGAGACACGGUCCAGACUCCUACGGGAGGCAGCAGUAGGGAAUCUUCCGCAAUGGGCGAAAGCCUGACGGAGCAACGCCGCAUGAGUGAUGAAGGUCUUCGGAUCGUAAAACUCUGUUAUUAGGGAAGAACAUAUGUGUAAGUAACUGUGCACAUCUUGACGGUACCUAAUCAGAAAGCCACGGCUAACUACGUG